GAUAGGUAAUCAGGUCUCAAUACUGUGGGACACUCUUCUUGGUGCAUCCUUUGAAUUUGAAAGAGUUAAUUUCCCAAACCUUAGACUGGUUUGCUUAGGAUUCAACUCAGGAGAAAAGAACCCAGAACCCAGAAAACUGACAUGCUCGAAAAGGGUUUUCAGGUGGUGCAUUGUCCAGAUUGCUUAGAAGCUCAUGAUCACAGAGGUCAUAUUUGACAAGAGAAAGCACUGUUGCACCAGGACUAAGUGAAGG
rnacentral:lncRNA from 10 species